rnacentral:rRNA from 1 species
UCACCUACGGGAGGCAGCAGUGAGGAAUAUUGGUCAAUGGGCGGGAGCCUGAACCAGCCAAGUCGCGUGAAGGAAGAAGGUACUUAGUAUUGUAAACCUCUUUUGUCGGGGAACAAAGGCGGAGACGCGUCUCCGGAUGAGUGUACCCGAAGAAAAAGCAUCGGCUAACUCCGUGCCAGCAGCCGCGGUAAUACGGAGGAUGCGAGCGUUAUCCGGAUUUAUUGGGUUUAAAGGGUGCGCAGGCGGGAGAUCAAGUCAGCGGUAAAAUUGCGGGGCUCAACCCCUGCGAGCCGUUGAAACUGGUU